rnacentral:tRNA from 1 species
GGGGAUUUAGCUUAGUGGUUCCACCGUUUGCCUCGAAAGCAAAAGGUCCUGAGUUCAAUCCCUGGUACCCCCC